GCCUUCGUGGUGUAGUGGUCAGCAUGCUCGACGCGUAACCGAGAGGUCCGUGGUUCGAUUCCCGGCGAAGGCU
rnacentral:tRNA from 1 species